rnacentral:rRNA from 1 species
AUUAAUAAGCGGAGGAAAAGAAACUAACAAGGAUUCCCUCAGUAACGGCGAGUGAAGCGGGAGGAGCUCAAAUUUGAAAUCUCCGGUGCUUGCAUCGGCGAGUUGUAGUUGCGAGAAGCACUUUCUAGGUGGAUCGGCGGUGCCUAAGUUGCUUGGAACAGCACGUCGCAGAGGGUGACAACCCCGUCUGUGGCGCCGCCGGCCGCUGACGAUGUGCUUUCGAAGAGUCGGGUUGUUUGGGAAUGCAGCCCAAAAUGGGUGGUAAACUCCAUCUAAAGCUAAAUACUGGCGUGAGACCGAUAGCGAACAAGUACCGUGAGGGAAAGAUGAAAAGAACUUUGAAAAGAGAGUUAAAAAGUACGUGAAACCGUCGGAAGGGAAACGAAUGGACUCAGCAAUGCGCCCUCUGAGAUUCAGCCGCGUGGGUGGCAUCGGCGCGGGGUUUGCGGAUCUGAAUGGACCGCGGCCCGGCGCUCGCUUCUCCCCGCCGUCGCACUUCUCUGGGGCGCGCGUCAACGUGGGUUGGGACUGGGUCUGAAAGGUGCCGGGAAGGUAGGUGUGGGCCUUCGGGUCCGUUCUGUUACAGCCCGGUUCUCUCAUGGCUCGGGCCCGACCGAGGAGCAGACAGGGCAUGCCUCCUGUGGCUAGGGUCCCGUCCUUCCGGCCGGCUGUCCAGUGUGGUGGACUGCUUGCAGUGCUCUGCGACGGCUGCCGGUCGUUGGGGUGGUGAUCUCGUACCAUGCCCUUGGGAUGUUGGCGGUCAUAUGG